GUAAUGACAAGGAACGGGAAGAGUAGCCGGGACUGGCCUGCCAGGGAGAAGGGGUCGUGACUGGAAGCCCCUUUCAGGAAAAGCCGGUGAAAGACACCCGGGAGUUGGCGGUCGAACUUCAGCUUUAGCUGGAUAGUAGGCUGGCCCGGUUGCCCACCGUUAACGGGCGAGAGGGGAACGGCUUUUUGGCUGUUCAACCAGGGUGGCACCGCGGGUAAUGACCCGUCCCUGCG
rnacentral:ncRNA from 1 species